rnacentral:lncRNA from 1 species
AAUACAUAUAAUCUAAAAUAUUUAAAAAUUAGGCAUAAAUAAUUAUAUAUUUUAAAAUUUUAUUAUAAUUAAAAUAUAAACUUAUGAAUUUACCAUCUUAACCUGAACAGGUGUUAAGAUCAGUAUUAUUGUUUGUAAUCAAAAUUUGCAUAUCUGAUACAAUUGAUCGCAUGUGAAAAUAUAUCUAAAACUUUCUUAUUUAAUUAAUUAAAAUAUAUUAUUAUUUACUUUAUAAAAAAUAUAUUUAAUUAUUUAUUAAUUAUUUAUAAAGAAGGUAAAUGAACCCGUUGUUGCGUAGCACGGGUUCCUUAACUAGUAUUUAUAAUGUUAUGCUUAGGUCAUUCAAUUUAGUGGUUGAUGCACUAUUUGAAUCUGAAUACACCCGUCACAUCAUAGAUGUAAUUGAUGUGAAUAGUGAGAUGGACUUGAGGAAUCUGCGCCAAUAAUUUCCAUGGAACAAAGUCAUGUAUGUAUACUUGUUGACGGUAGUAAAUGAAACCAUUCUCUGUUAUAAUACAUGCUUAGUGCAAUUGCCUAAAAGAGUUUGGUGAUUUAAUUGUAUCAGAAGUUUUAAGUUUAAAAUUUAGUUGUUUCAUAUUUUUAGCUUAGUUUAUUUUAAAAAAAUAAGCGAAGCAUGUAGAACGCUGCAUGCUAUCUUAUGAAGUAAUUAAAUAUAUUAUUUCGGAUUACAUUCCUAGAUUCUUUACCAUCCUGUAUAGCACAAUUGAAUUAUUUUGUACUGUAUGUGUUACAAGAAGAAUUUGAAGGAUUUU